rnacentral:rRNA from 1 species
GACGAACGCUGGCGGCGUGCUUAACACAUGCAAGUCGGACGGAAAGGCCUGCUUUCCCUUGUGGAUUGCGGGUACUCGAGUGGCGAACGGGUGAGUAACACGUGAGUGAUCUGCCCCCAACUUGGGUAUAAGCCUGGGAAACUGGGUCUAAUUCCCGAUAGGACUGCAGGGUGGUGCCUGUGGUGGAAAACGAUUUUCUAGUGGUUGGGGAUGAGCUCGCGGCCUAUCAGCUUGUUGGUGGGGUAAUGGCCUACCAAGGCGGCGACGGGUAGCCGGCCUGAGAGGGUGGACGGCCACAUUGGGACUGAGAUACGGCCCAGACUCCUACGGGAGGCAGCAGUGGGGAAUAUUGCACAAUGGGCGGAAGCCUGAUGCAGCGACGCCGCGUGGGGGAUGACGGCCUUCGGGUGGUAAACUCCUUUCGACCGCGAGGAAGCCACCUGGUUGGAAGGGUGGUGACGGUAGUGGUAGAAGAAGCACCGGCUAACUACGUG